GGGUGUGUAGCUCAGCUGGUAGAGCAGCAAUCUCCAAAGUUGCCGGUCGGGGGUUCAAAUCCCUCCGCACUCG
rnacentral:tRNA from 6 species